rnacentral:rRNA from 1 species
CCUACGGGUGGCAGCAGUGGGGAAUAUUGGGCAAUGGGGGAAAGCCUGAACCAGCAACGCCGCGUGAAUGAUGAAGGUCUUCGGGUUGUAAAGUUCUUUUCUCAGGGACGAAGAUCGUGACGGUACCUGAGGAAUAAGCCACGGCUAACUACGUGCCAGCAGCCGCGGUAAUACGUAGGGGGCAAGCGUUAUCCGGAUUUACUGGGCGUAAAGGGCGCGUAGGUGGGUGGGCAAGUCAGAAGGGGAAACCCGGGGCUCAACCCUGGACCUACAAUUGAAACUGUGGUACUUGAGUGCAGGAGAGGCGAUCGGAAUUCCUUGUGUAGCGGUGGAAUGCGUAGAUAUUAGGAGGAACACCAGUGGCGAAGGCGAAUUGCUGGACAGUAACUGACACUGAGGCACGAAAGCGUGGGGAGCAAACAGGAUUAGAUACCCUUGUAGUC